GGGAUAUUGCACAAUGGGGGACACCCUGAUGCAGCGAUGCCGCGUGAAUGAAGACGGCCUUCGGGUUGUACAGUUCUGUCGCAGGGGACGAAAAUGACGGUACCCUUCAAGAAAGCUCCGGCUAACCACGUGCCCGCAGCCGCGGUAAUACGUAGGGAGCAAGCGUUGUCCGGAAUUACUGGGUGUAAAGGGAGCGUAGGCGGGAGGAUAAGUUGAAUGUGAAAUCUAUGGGCGCAACCCAUAGCUGCGUUCAAAACUGUUCUUCUUGAGUGAAGUAGAGGCAGGCGGAAUUCCUAGUGUAGCGGUGAAAUGCGUAGAUAUUAGGAGGAACACCAGUGGCGAAGGCGGCCUGCUGGGCUUUUACUGACGCUGAGGCUCGAAAGCGUGGGUAGCAAAC
rnacentral:rRNA from 1 species